UAACGUCUAUCAAGUGUUUUACUCCUUGUGUUAGUUUUAGGAAGUGAAGCACACCAAAUAGUUAUUUUUUUUUGUAACAGGCAAUCUUGUAAGCUAUGCAAGAUGCCAAUUCCAAACAGUCACAGAUUGCUCUGUUAAAAAACUAUGGUGUUAGCAUUCCAUCGUGCUACUCUGUUGUUUAGAGAUCUAGCUUGUGAAACUUAUAAUGGAAAGAAUGCUAACCUGGAAGAAGAUCACCAGCGAUGUGCAUUCCUUGAAUCAGCACACCACUGUCCAAUUCAACUACCCUUUUGCCUAGCCAUCAAAAUCAACUUUAAUCUGAUAAAUGGAUUGUGUACCUCUUUGUUUGGUUUCCAAAGCUUAACCAACACAGGUAGACCUGGACAUCAAAACCAAUCCCUUUUGGUCUGAAAAGCCUUUACCUUCUACAGCAAAAUUACGAGCACUACAGGUUUUGCAGUAUUCAGACAACAGGUGUAGCCGUCUUUACCAGGCUUUUCGCCCCGUCCGUCUUCGCCUCACCCGUCGCCCCAUCUUUGCCUCGCCCGUCGCCUUCGCCUCGCCC